AAAAACUGGCACCAGCAAAAGUUCAGUUUAGCAGAGGGGAAUAAAAGAAAAAAGAAAAAAAAAAAGACAUCUGUAGAUGUUGCCAAGUUUUAGUUUGGGUUGGCUCAAACUAAAAGUCAUUUGUCAUCAAAUCGUAUGAUAUUUCACAUUUGCCUUGGUUGAUACCAGCUAUCGAAAACUUAAACCACCAAAAUGUUGGUGGC
rnacentral:lncRNA from 1 species